rnacentral:rRNA from 1 species
UGACCUCAAAUCAGGUAGGACUACCCGCUGAACUUAAGCAUAUCAAUAAGCGGAGGAAAAGAAACUAACAAGGAUUCCCCUAGUAACUGCGAGUGAAGCGGGAAAAGCUCAAAUUUAAAAUCUGUCAGUCUUUGGCUGUCCGAGUUGUAAUCUAGAGAAGUGUUAUCCGCGCUGGACCGUGUACAAGUCUCCUGGAAUGGAGCGUCAUAGAGGGUGAGAAUCCCGUCUUUGACACGGACUGCCAGGGCUUUUGUGAUGCGCUCUCAAAGAGUCGAGUUGUUUGGGAAUGCAGCUCAAAAUGGGUGGUAAAUUCCAUCUAAAGCUAAAUAUUGGCGAGAGACCGAUAGCGAACAAGUACCGUGAGGGAAAGAUGAAAAGAACUUUGGAAAGAGAGUUAAACAGUACGUGAAAUUGCUGAAAGGGAAACGCUUGAAGUCAGUCGCGUCAUCCAGGGAUCAACCUUGCUUUUGCUUGGUGUACUUUCUGGUUGACGGGUCAGCAUCAAUUUUGACCAUUGGAAAAAGAUUAAGGGAAUGUGGCAUACAUUAGUGAUGUGUUAUAGCCCUUGGUUGCAUACAAUGGUUGGGAUUGAGGAACUCAGCACGCCGCAAGGCCGGGUUUUUACCACGUACGUGCUUAGG